CCCAGACUCCUACGGGAGGCAGCAGUGGGGGAUAUUGCACAAUGGGGGAAACCCUGAUGCAGCGACGCCGCGUGAGUGAAGAAGUAUUUCGGUAUGUAAAGCUCUAUCAGCAGGGAAGAAAAUGACAGUACCUGACCAAGAAGCCCCGGCUAACUACGUGCCAGCAGCCGCGGUAAUACGUAGGGGGCAAGCGUUAUCCGGAUUUACUGGGUGUAAAGGGAGCGUAGACGGUGCAGCAAGUCUGAUGUGAAAGGUCGGGGCCCAACCCCGGGACUGCAUUGGAAACUGUUGAACUGGAGUACAGGAGAGGUAAGCGGAAUUCCUAGUGUAGCGGUGAAAUGCGUAGAUAUUAGGAGGAACACCAGUGGCGAAGGCGGCUUACUGGACUGCAACUGACACUGAGGCUCGAAAGUGUGGGUAUCAAACAGGAUUAGAUACCCCGGUA
rnacentral:rRNA from 1 species